AUUGAACGCUGGCGGCAGGCCUAACACAUGCAAGUCGAGCGAGCGGCGGACGGGUGAGUAAUGUCUGGGAAACUGCCUGAUGGAGGGGGAUAACUACUGGAAACGGUAGCUAAUACCGCAUACCAUCAGAUGUGCCAAGAUGGGAUUAGCGGGUAGGUGGGGUAACGGAUCACCUAGGCGGCGAUCCCUAGCUGGUCUGAGAGGAUGACCAGCCAACCUGGAACUGAGACACGGUCCAGCCGCCUACGGGAGGAAGCAGUGGGGAAUAUUGCACAAUGGGCGCAAGCCUGAUGCAGCCAUGCAGCGUGUGUGACGAAGGCCUUCGGGUUGUAAAGCACAUUCAGCGGGGAGGCGUUAACCGCAGAAGAAGCACCGGCUAACUCCGUGCCAGCAGCCGCGGUAAUUC
rnacentral:rRNA from 1 species